UGGGGAAUUUUGGGCAAUGGGCGCAAGCCUGACCCAGCAACGCCGCGUGAGCGAUGAAGUCCUUCGGGAUGUAAAGCUCGGAAGCAAGGGAAGAAACGGCGGAGGAUAAUACCCUCCGCUAAUGACGGUACCUUAUUUAAGCCCCGGCUAACUACGUGCCAGCAGCCGCGGUAAUACGUAGGGGGCAAGCGUUGUUCGGAAUUACUGGGCGUAAAGCGCGCGUAGGCGGUUGAGGCAAGUCAGAUGUGAAAGCCCCGAGCUCAACUUGGGAACUGCAUAUGAUACUGCCGGACUAGAGUACAGAAGAGGCAACCGGAAUUCCCAGUGUAGCGGUGAAAUGCGUAGAUAUUGGGAGGAACACCAGAUGCGAAGGCGGGUUGCUGGGCUGAUACUGACGCUGAGGCGCGAAAGCCAGGGUAGCAAACGGGAUUAGAUACCCCGGUAGUCC
rnacentral:rRNA from 1 species